rnacentral:rRNA from 1 species
CAGUACCACGGUAAUACAGAGGGUGCAAGCGUUAAUCGGAUUUACUGGGCGUAAAGCGUGCGUAGGCGGCUUCUUAAGUCGGAUGUGAAAUCCCUGAGCUUAACUUAGGAAUUGCAUUCGAUACUGGGAAGCUAGAGUAUGGGAGAGGAUGGUAGAAUUCCAGGUGUAGUGGUGAAAUGCGUAGAGAUCUGGAGGAAUACCGAUGGCGAAGGCAGCCAUCUGGCCUAAUACUGACGCUGAGGUACGAAAGCAUGGGGAGCAAACAGGAUUAGAUACCCGCGUAGUCCCUGUCUCUUAUACA